UUUUUUUUUUUUUUUGAUAUUGAGCUGCAUGAAUUGUUUGUAUAUUUUGGAGAUUAAUCUCUUAUCAGUUAGUUGCAUUGUUUGCAAAUAUCUUCUCCCAUCCUGUAGGUUAUCCUUUUGUUUUCUUUAUGGUUUCCUUUGCUGUGCAAAAGCUUUUAAGUUUAAUUAUGUCUCAUUUGUUUACUUUUGUUUUUAUUUCCAUUACUGUAGGAGAUGGAAUCCAAAAAGAUAUUACUAUGAUUUAUGUCAAAGAGUGUUCUGCCUAUGUUUUCCUCUGUGUGUGAGUUUUAUAGCAAAUGGUCUUACAUUUAGGUAUUUAGCCCAUUUUGAGUUUAUUUUUAUAUAUGGUGUUUAAUAAUUCAUAGAAAGGUACAACCUCCUAAGACUGAACCAGAAAGAAAUAGAAAAUACAAACAGACCAGAUACAAAUACUGAAAUUGAAUCUGUGAUUUAAAAACUCCCAACAAACAAAAGUCCAGGGCCAGAUGUCUUCACAGGGAAUUCUAUCAGUCAUUUAGAGAAGUUAAUACCUUCUGAGACUAUUCCAAAAAACUGCAGAGGAAGAAACACUUCCAAACUCAUUUGGAUAUCCAAAUCAGACAAAAACACUACAAAAAGAGAAAAUUACAGGCCAAUAUCACUGAUGAACAUAGACUCAAAAAUCCUCAACAAAUACUAAAAAACUGAAUCGAGCAAUACAUUAAAGGAUCAAAUACCAUGAUCAAGUGGGAUUUAUCCUAGGAAUGCAAGGAUUUUUCAAUAUCCACAAAUCAAUCAGUGUGAAAUAGCACAUUAACAAAUUGAAAAAUAACAAUAUGGUCAUCUCAAUAGAUGGAGAAAAAUAUUUUGAUAAAAUUCAACAUCCAUUUUUGAUAAAAACUCUGCAGAAAGUGGGCAUAGAGGGGAUAUAUCUCAACAUAAUAAAGACCAUAUAUGACAAACUCACAGCUAACUUCAAAAGCUGAAAGCAUUUCCUCUAAGAUCAGAAACAAGACAAGGAUGCCCAUUCUUGUCACUUUUAUUCAACAUAGUUUUGGAAAUACUACCACAGCAAUCAGAAAAGGAAAAAAAAAUAAUGAGAAUCCAAACUGGAAAAAAAGAAGUAAAAUUGUCACUGUUUGCAGAUAACAUGAUACUAUAUAUAGAAAAUACUAAAGAUACUACCAGAAAACUACCAGAGCUCAUCAAUGAAUCUGGAAAAGUUGCAGGAUACAAAAUAAAUACAGAAGUAUAUUGUGUUUUUAUACACUAACAAUGAAAUAUCAGAAAGAGAAAUUAAGGAAACGAUCUCAUUUACCACACAUCAAAAAUAAGAAAAUAUCUAGGAAUAAACCUACCUAAGGAAGCAAAAGACCUGUACUCUGAAAAUUAUAAGACACUGAUGAAAGAAACUGAAGAUGACACAAAUAGAGAGAUAUAAUGUGUUCUUGGAUUGGAAGAAUCAACAUUGUUAAAAUGACAAUACUAUCCAGGGCAAUCUACAGAUUCAAUGCAAUCCCCAUCAAAUCAACAAUGGUAUUUUUUACAGAACUAGAACAAAAAAAUUUUUUUUAAUUUGUAUGGAAACACAAAAGACCCCCAAAAGCCAAAGCAAUCUAGAGAAAGAAAAAUGGAGCUGGAGGAAUCUGGCUCUUUGCCUUAAGAUUAUAUUACAAAGCUAUAGGAAUCAAAACAGUAUGGUACUGGCACAAAAACAGACAUUAGAUCAACAGAAUGGGAUAUAGAGUCCAGAAAUAAACCCAUGCACCUAUGGUCAAUAAAUCUAUGACAAAGGAAGCAAGAAUAUACAAUGGAGAAAAGAGAGUCUUCAAUAAAUGGUGCUAGGAGAACUGGACAGCUGCAUGAAAUAGCAUGAAAUUAGAACAUUUUCUAUAUGCUUUCUUAUCUCAUGUUUUAUUAGCUGAGAGCUGAGUUCUGUCCAUGUCUACUAUUAACUAGUAGUAAAGGGAUAUUAGUCAAACGGUAUCAAGUUUCAAUUAUGCAAGAUGAAUAAGUUCUGGAGAUCCAAUAUGUAUUAUGGUGACUAUAGCUAACAAUCCAUAUUGUACACAGGUCUACCUCAUUUUAUGAUGCUUCAUAGGUACUGUGUGUUUUUAAAAAUUGAUGUUUUGUGGCAAUCCUAUUUCAAGCAAGUCUAUUGGGGCCAUAUUUCAAAUAGCAUUUGCUCACUUUGUCUCUGUGCCACAUUUUGAUAAUUCUUACAAUAUUUCAAACCCUACUAGCAAGAAUAUUAUGACUUGCUGAAGGAUUAGAUGAUGGUUAACAUAUUUUAGCAAUAAAGUAUUUUAAAUUAAGGUAUGUAUAUUAUUUCUUAGACAUGCUAUUAUUGCACAUUUAACAGACUACAAUAUAGUAUAAACAUAAUUUUUAUAUACAUUGGGAAACCAAAAACUUCAUGGGACUCACUUUAACAUGAUAUCAGCUUUAUUGCAGUGGUUUGGAACCAAACUGCUAUCUCUGAGGUAUGCCUAUACUUGAAAUUUGCUAAGAGGAUAGAUCUUAAAUCUACUGAACACACACACACACACACACACACACACCACACACACACACACACAGAGGUAACUAUGUAGAGGUGAUGGAUAUGUUAAUUAGCUUCAUUGUGGUGGUCAUUACACAUUGUAUAUGUAUACCAAGUUAUACACUUUAAGUAUAUAUAAAAAUAUAACUUUUAUGUCAAUGACAUCUCAAAGUUGUUAAAACAAACAAACAAAUAGCAAGUGGGAUGAAAGUACCAUGAUUAGCUUAGACUUAUCAUCUAGGUUGAAAAGGCUGGAGGGAGAAUUGACCAGUAUUUGCCAUAGGCUGUCUCCUGAUUCAAAAGGGUACAUUUUGAACAAGGCUGUGCAAACCCAUCUCAUCUUCCAGUGCCUCGCUUCACAAGCCUCAACUUUUGCACAUUGCUCCCUCCUACCCCAUAUUGUAACUUAUAUCCUAUGUCAGCUGGGUAGUUUAUUAGGAAAGGCAAUCAGAGAGAAUUUUGACCUCCUUUGAUUGUCUUGAAGGCCACGUCAUACCUGCCUCAUGUGAAUUCCCAAUACCUCACAAUAUAGGACACUAGCCCAGAAGCCCAAAACCUUUCAAAUAGCUUUAGGCUUUCCUUCACAUCUGGCAUUAUGAAUUCUGGUCAAGGGCUCCCUGCCCCUUGUCCAACAUUAAUAUUUCAGGCAAAUACCAAAAUUAUAUAAACCUUACAUAUCAACCAAGGGUAUAGU
rnacentral:lncRNA from 1 species